CCUACGGGAGGCAGCAGUGAGGAAUUUUGGGCAAUGGGCGAAAGCCUGACCCAGCGACACCGCGUGGGGGAUUGAAGGCCUUCGGGUCGUAAACCCCUGUCAGGGGGAACGAAAGCCCUCCGGUGAAUAGCCGGGGGGUCUGACGGUACCCCCAAAGGAAGCCCCGGCUAACUCCGUGCCAGCAGCCGCGGUAAUACGGAGGGGGCGAGCGUUAUUCGGAAUUACUGGGCGUAAAGCGCGCGCAGGUGGCGUGGCAAGUGGCGGGUAAAAGCCCUCGGCUCAACCGAGGAAUUGCCUGCCAAACUACCGCGCUUGAGGCCGGGAGGGGGAAGCGAAAUUCCUGGUGUAGCGGUAAAAUGCGUAGAUACCAGGAGGAACACUGGUGGCGAAGGCGGCUUCCUGGACCGGUUCUGACACUCAUGCGCGAAAGCGUGGGGAGCAAACAGGAUUAGAUCCCCCGGUAGU
rnacentral:rRNA from 1 species